rnacentral:precursor_RNA from 1 species
GUUGAGGCGGUUGCUGAAGUGACUUGAUGAGAAGUAGGUUUUAGACGAACUGCAUGAACAUCAAUGUCACUAUUACCACCAGACUGGACA